rnacentral:rRNA from 1 species
GAUGAACGCUGGCGGCGUGCCUAAUACAUGCAAGUCGAGCGAACAGACGAGGAGCUUGCUCCUCUGACGUUAGCGGCGGACGGGUGAGUAACACGUGGAUAACCUACCUAUAAGACUGGGAUAACUUCGGGAAACCGGAGCUAAUACCGGAUAAUAUAUUGAACCGCAUGGUUCAAUAGUGAAAGACGGUUUUGCUGUCACUUAUAGAUGGAUCCGCGCUGCAUUAGCUAGUUGGGAAGGUAACCGCUUAUCAAGGCAACGAUGCGUAGCCGACCUGAGAGGGUGAAUCUGCACACGGGAACUGAGGCACGGCCCAGACUCCUACGGGGGGAAGCAGUAGGGAAUCCUCCGCGAGGGGGGAAAGCCGGACGGAGCAAAGCCGCGUGAGUGAUGAAGGUCUUAGGCUCGUAAAACUCUGAUAUUAGGGAAGAACAAAUGUGUAAGUAACUAUGCACGUAUUGACGGUACCUAAUGAGAAAGCCACGGCUAACUACGUG